GACGAACGCUGGCGGCGUGCUUAACACAUGCAAGUCGAACGAAGUGGCGCACGGGUGAGUAAUACGUGGGUAACCUGCCCUCCUUUUUGGGAUAAGCCUUGGUAACGGGGUCUAAUACCGAAUAACGGGGGAUGGGCUCGGGGCCUAUCAGCUUGUUGGUGGGGUGAGGGACUACCGAGGCGGUGACGGGUAGGCGGCCUGAGAGGGUGACCGGCAACAUAGGGACUGAGAUACGGCCCAGACGCCUACGGGGGGCAGAAGUGGGCGCUAUUGAGCGAUGGGUGAGGGCAUCAUGCAGCGACUCGGCGUGAGGCAUGAGGGCUUUCGAGUUGUAAGCCUCGGGCGCUAUCGAAAGGGUAGGUGGAGAAGAAGCGCCGGCUAACUACGUGCCAGCAGCCGCGGUAAUUC
rnacentral:rRNA from 1 species